rnacentral:rRNA from 1 species
GAUGAACGCUGGCGGCGUGCCUAAUACAUGCAAGUCGAGCGAAUGGAUUAAGAGCUUGCUCUUAUGAAGUUAGCGGCGGACGGGUGAGUAACACGUGGGUAACCUGCCCAUAAGACUGGGAUAACUCCGGGAAACCGGGGCUAAUACCGGAUAACAUUUUGAACUGCAUGGUUCGAAAUUGAAAGGCGGCUUCGGCUGUCACUUAUGGAUGGACCCGCGUCGCAUUAGCUAGUUGGUGAGGUAACGGCUCACCAAGGCAACGAUGCGUAGCCGACCUGAGAGGGUGCUCGGCCACACUGGGACUGAGACACGGCCCAGACUCCUACGGGAGGCAGCAGUAGGGCAUCUUCCGCAAUGGACGAAAGUCUGACGGAGCAACGCCGCGUGAGUGAUGAAGGCUUUCGGGUCGUAAAACUCUGUUGUUAGGGAAGAACAAGUGCUAGUUGAAUAAGCUGGCACCUUGACGGUACCUAACCAGAAAGCCACGGCUAACUACGUGCCAGCAGCCGCAGUAAGAC